AAGGAUCAUUACCGAGUUAGCUUUGGGUAAACCAAAAGCACUCUCCACCCUUUGUUUUAAACGUCAAGUUUCCUCGGCAGGCCGACGUCGACUCGAAAGAGUGGGUCAGCGCCUGCCAGAGACCCAAACUCUGUCACCUUUCGUAUUAUAAUACAGAUAAUUAAACAAAAACUUUCAACAACGGAUCUCUUGGUUCUG
rnacentral:misc_RNA from 1 species